CGUUUGGUUUCUCUAGAAACCACACAUUAAGAUUAUGCAAUUCUGU
rfam:Piloderma croceum F 1598 unplaced genomic scaffold scaffold_00066, whole genome shotgun sequence.